AUUGAACGCUGGCGGCAGGCCUAACACAUGCAAGUCGAGCGGAAGAAGGGAGCUUGCUCCUGGAUUCAGCGGCGGACGGGUGAGUAAUGCCUAGGAAUCUGCCUGGUUGUGGGGAUAACGUCCGGAAACGGGCGCUAAUACCGCAUACGUCCUGAGGGAGAAAGGGGGGGAACUUGGGACCCUACGCACUUAGAUGGACCUAGGUCGGCUUAGCUAGUUGGUGGGGUAAAGGCCCACCAAGGCGACGAUCCGUAACUGGUCUGAGAGGAUGAUCAGUCACACUGGAACUGAGACACGGUCCAGACUCCUACGGGAGGCAGCAGUGGGGAAUAUUGGACAAUGGGCGAAAGCCUGAUCCAGCCAUGCCGCGUGUGUGAAGAAGGUCUUCGGAUUGUAAAGCACUUUAAGUUGGGAGGAAGGGCAGUAAGUUAAUACCUUGCUGUUUUGACGUUACCCACAGAAUAAGCACCGGCUAACUUCGUG
rnacentral:rRNA from 1 species